rnacentral:ncRNA from 1 species
ACUCAGGUGUAUCUGGCGGUCGGGGACCCGAAAGAUGGCAAUCCAUGCCCGGUCGGGACGAAGCCAGAGGAAAUUCUGGUGGAAGUCCGAAGCGCCUCUGACGUGCAAAUCGAUCAUCGGAGCCGGGUUUAGGGGCGAAAGACCAAUCGAGCCGUCUAGUAGCUGGUUCCCUCCGAAGUUUCCCUCAGGAUAGCUGGCGCCAGCGGGAGAACUACACGCAAUUCCGUCCGGUAAAGCGAACGACUGGAGGACCCGGGGACGUUGACGGCCUCGAUCUACUC